rnacentral:rRNA from 1 species
GGGGAAUAUUGCACAAUGGGCGCAAGCCUGAUGCAGCGACGCCGCGUGGGGGAUGACGGCCUUCGGGUUGUAAACUCCUUUCGCCAGGGACGAAGCGUUUUGUGACGGUACCUGGAGAAGAAGCACCGGCUAACUACGUGCCAGCAGCCGCGGUAAUACGUAGGGUGCAAGCGUUGUCCGGAAUUACUGGGCGUAAAGAGCUCGUAGGUGGUUUGUCACGUCGUCUGUGAAAUUCCACAGCUUAACUGUGGGCGUGCAGGCGAUACGGGCUGACUUGAGUACUGUAGGGGUAACUGGAAUUCCUGGUGUAGCGGUGAAAUGCGCAGAUAUCAGGAGGAACACCGAUGGCGAAGGCAGGUUACUGGGCAGUUACUGACGCUGAGGAGCGAAAGCAUGGGUAGCAAACAGGAUUAGAUACCCUGGUAGUCCGUGCCGUAAACGGUGGGCGCUAGGUGUAGGGAUCUUUUGGGGUUUCUGUGCCGUAGCUAACGCAUUAAGCGCCCCGCCUGGGGAGUACGGCCGCAAGGCUA